AGAGCCAUGAAGCACGUGGGGUUGAGUGAGCCAGGUGUGGAGGGGUGAGACAGACAGAGCCAUGAAGCACGUGGGGUUGAGUGAGCCAGGUGUGUCACUUGGGGACGACUGUCAGCCAACCCAGGACCAACGGCUGAUGACGCUCAAUGAUGGAAUUAGAAGCUGCAUGAAUUGUUUAUGUAGAUUUUAGAAGCUGUCUGAAUUGUUUAUGUAAAUCUGAAGCACUUACUUUGAAUUGAAGGCUUGGACCAUGUAAUAUCUUUGUAAUUCUUCUGUACCAUUGUCAUAAGUUCCUUAGAUAACUCACUACAGUUUUGUCUCUAUAUAAUAAUAUGUACAUUUACUCAAACUGCAUUUUCUUUCAGUGUGCAGGUUUGCAGUAAACCUCCCUGAAGGUUCCAGAGCUGCUCAGCAAGUGUCCAGUCCAGGCUGUCACAAGACUGUGUGACAGUGGACCUUCCACUCAUACUGAAAACAGCUGUGCACUGCCACUCACAGGAAGUGGUGACCACUCUAGGUGUGCUAUCUGCUGUUUAUAUGUGUAAGAUGAGUACUGGCUAAGGAUUGAGUUGCCUUGAAGCUGAGAUGAGUUGGUCAGCUAGUGAGUGGCUUCAAUCAAGUGACUGUGAGGUGUUGGCUUCAAUCAAGUGACUGUGAGGUGUUGCCUUCAAUCAAGUGACUGUGAGGUGUUGGCUUCAAUCAAGUGACUGUGAGGUGUUGCCUUCAAUCAAGUGACUGUGAGGUGUUGGCUUCAAUCAAGUGACUGUGAGGUGUUGGCUUCAAUCAAGUGACUGUGAGGUGUUGCCUUCAAUCAAGUGACUGUGAGGUGUUGGCUUCAAUCAAGUGACUGUGAGGUGUUGCCUUCAAUCAAGUGACUGUGAGGUGUUGCCUUCAAUCAAGUGACUGUGAGGUGUUGCCUUCAAUCAAGUGACUGUGAGGUGUUGCCUUCAAUCAAGUGACUGUGAGGUGUUGGCUUCAAUCAAGUGACUGUGAGGUGUUGCCUUCAAUCAAGUGACUGUGAGGUGUUGGCUUCAAUCAAGUGACUGUGAGGUGUUGCCUUCAAUCAAGUGACUGUGAGGUGUUGGCUUCAAUCAAGUGACUGUGAGGUGUUGCCUUCAAUCAAGUGACUGUGAGGUGUUGGCUUCAAUAAAGUGACUGUGAGGUGUUGCCUUCAAUCAAGUGACUGUGAGGUGUUGCCUUCAAUAAAGUGACUGUGAGGUGUUGCCUUCAAUCAAGUGACUGUGAGGUGUUGCCUUCAAUAAAGUGACUGUGAGGUGUUGCCUUCAAUCAAGUGACUGUGAGGUGUUGGCUUCAAUAAAGUGACUGUGAGGUGUUGGCUUCAAUAAAGUGACUGUGAGGUGUUGCCUUCAAUCAAGUGACUGUGAGGUGUUGGCUUCGAUCAAGUGACUGUGAGGUGUUGGCUUCGAUCAAGUGACUGUGAGGUGUUGGCUUCGAUCAAGUGACUGUGAGGUGUUGGGCAUGGUAUUGUGUUAUUGCAAGUGUAACCAUUAAUAAGUGGUACUGUGGAUAGCAAGCGGAAGAGGCCUUGGGAGACUUCCGUUAAUGAGGAGCAACAGUCACACCUCACUGGAGUCUUUCAGGAACCAACAGUCAGGGCCUGAUGUGAAGGUGUCUGCAGCCAGUGUUUGGUGUCCUCUGUGCCUGCCUGGUGGUGCCUCAUUGCAGGGCUGAUGUGAAGGUGUCUGCAGCCAGUGUUUGGUGUCCUCUGUGCCUGCCUGGUGGUGCCUCAUUGCAGGGCCUGAUGUAAAGGUGUCUGCAGCCAGUGGUGGUGCCUCAUUGCAGGGCUGAUGUGAAGGUGUCUGCAGCCAGUGGUGGUGCCUCAUUGCAGGGCCUGAUGUGAAGGUGUCUGCAGCCAGUGGUGGGUGUCCUCUGUGCCUGGUGGUGCCUCAUUGCAGGGCUGAUGUGAAGGUGUCUGCAGCCAGUGUUUGGUGUCCUCUGUGCCUGCCUGGUGGUGCCUCAUUGCAGGGCCUGAUGUGAAGGUGUCUGCAGCCAGUGGUGGGUGUCCUCUCUUCCUGGUGGUGCCUCAUUGCAGGGCUGAUGUGAAGGUGUCUGCAGCCAGUGGUGGGUGUCCUCUCUUCCUGGUGGUGCCUCAUUGCAGGGCUGAUGUGAAGGUGUCUGCAGCCAGUGUUUGGUGUCCUCUGUGCCUGGUGGUGGUGCCUCAUUGCAGGGCUGAUGUGAAGGUGUCUGCAGCCAGUGUUUGGUGUCCUCUGUGCCUGCCUGGUGGUGCCUCAUUGCAGGGCCUGAUGUGAAGGUGUCUGCAGCCAGUGGUGGGUGUCCUCUCUUCCUGGUGGUGCCUCAUUGCAGGGCUGAUGUGAAGGUGUCUGCAGCCAGUGGUGGUGCCUCAUUGCAGGGCCUGAUGUGAAGGUGUCUGCAGCCAGUGUUUGGUGUCCUCUGUGCCUGGUGGUGCCUCAUUGCAGGGCUGAUGUGAAGGUGUCUGCAGCCAGUGUUUGGUGUCCUCUCUUCCUGGUGGUGCAGCCUGAUGUGUUGCCUGCUUCAGUGUAAAUCUUGCAAGCCAGAUCUGCCAGCUGUCUCCAGUGUAGUAGUCUAGGGUGCUUUGCUUUGUGUCUUUGGCAAUAAAUAAAUUUGUGAGUAUCAUUCUCAUGUGAAUUAUAUAGUUUGAUAAAAUUACAGAAUGUGCUUGGGUAAACUAAAUUUAUAUAUUGGUGGUAAACAAUUCAUGCAUCCCCAAGUAAAUAAAUAAAAUAAAUAGGACCCAAAACAAUAGAUGCAAUAUAGAUCAUCCUCUGGUCAAAAAAAAAAAAAAGCCAGGAUUGGCCCUUUUUUGGCUAAGUUUAAGGCGAAACUUGCACACAGAAGCCCUGUCCGAGCGACACCAGAGUCGCUCGGACAGGGCUUCUGUGUGCAAGUUUUACAACCAAAAAUGGGCCAAUCCUGGCUUUUUUUUUUUGACCAGAGGAUCAAUUGUUUAGUAUUUUUUGCUUCCAUUUUUUUUUUUUUUAUCAGGGCUAUGAACUGGUUACAUCAGAAAGCAGCUUAUUUGCAAUUUGUUUUGCAAUUUGUAAAAAGAUUUGUAUAUAAUUCCACAAUUCCACAAGUAUGAACAAGAUGAUUAAAUAUAUUUGUUUAAAUCACAUUGCCAAAGUUUCUGAGGAAGCAUGAACUGUUACACCAGAAAGCUUGUUUAUUUGCAACUUGUUAGUAUAAUUCCCUAAGUAUGUACAAGAUAAUAUAGAUAUUGUUUAAUAAAUCAUUAUUGUUUAAUCAUUCCCUAAGUAUGUACAAGAUAAUAAUAUAUAUAUUGUUUAAUCACAAAA